AUUUUAUUACGUGACGCGAGCCGUUUGAUUACGUGACGCGAGCCGUUCAAUUCUUCUCUCUAAUUUCCAGCAACGAUGCUCUUGUUGUAAGAUUUGGUCUUCUAUGAUUUCCUACAAGAAGACCUUUGUUGCGAAACCUCAUCUUCUACAAAUUUCUGCAACAAGACCCAUGUUGCAAAACAUCUUCUUCUCCAAUUUUUUGCAACAAGACUUUUACAAAAAUUGCAACAACAUCUCCUGCCGCGUCUACUUUUCUGCAACAACAACUUUCACGCGUCUAAUUUCUGCAACGAGAUCCUUGUUGAAAAAAUUACAACAACAUCUUGCGUUGUGUCUAAUUUUCUACAACAAGACCCUUUUUGCAAAAAUUACAAGAAGAUCUCAUGCAGCGUCUAAUUUUCUGCAACGUGACCCUUGUUGCAAAAAUUGCAACAAAUUUAUUGUUGCGUCUGAGCUCGAGGAGGCGAGAGCCAAGGACACCGACGCUCCUCUAGGACGGCGGCGACAUUGAACGACGAGCGACAACAGAUGCAGCUCCAGCCGUAACAAAUGCCAGAGGGCGGCGUUGAUGAUGGCCGGGGAUGGCUCGUUGACGCAGAUCCAACAAACCAGCCGUCUCCCUCCUAGUAUCGUCGUCGUCGUCAUCUCGGUGGAUAUGCCACCCCCCUACGGAUGUAACCGCCCCAGGGAGAACCGCCAUGAACGCCUACAGAAUCGCCAGAAAUGCGGGGGUAAAGGGAUGGGGGAUCUCAGAUCCAUACCUGCUGGAGUCGACGUCGGCCACAGACGAGCCGCCACCGCGUUGUAUAUGCCCAGUCGCCCAACGCCCUAUGCCGCUAGCCCGCCGACCUCUCAAAUCCAGAAGCGUCGCCCUCCCAAAGACAUGAGACGACGGAGCUGCCAGUUGCAGAAAUGUUGUCCUGGAACAAGGGCUAUGUUUCAGAAAAACGGACGCGCGUGACGCGGAAGCGGGGACGCCCUCAUCCGUCUAAUCAACAGACGAUCUAACGAGCACGGAGCCGGCGGGCGCGGCGUACAUGAUCGGUCGGAUGAAGGUAAGCUUUUUAUGAUAACCUGUUAAGAU
rnacentral:rRNA from 1 species